UGAGUAACGCGUGAGUAACCUGCCUUUCAGAGGGGGGAGUAACGUUCUGAAAAGAACGCUAAUACCGCAUAACAUCAAUUUAUCGCAUGAUAGGUUGAUCAAAGGAGCAAUCCGCUGGAAGAUGGACUCGCGUCCGAUUAGCCAGUUGGCGGGGUAACGGCCCACCAAAGCGACGAUCGGUAGCCGGACUGAGAGGUUGAACGGCCACAUUGGGACUGAGACACGGCCCAGACUCCUACGGGAGGCAGCAUG
rnacentral:rRNA from 1 species